AGUGAACGCUGGCGGUAGGCCUAACACAUGCAAGUCGAACGGCAGCACAGUAAGAGCUUGCUCUUACGGGUGGCGAGUGGCGGACGGGUGCGGAAUACAUCGGAUUCUACUUUUUCGUGGGGGAUAACGUAGGGAAACUUACGCUAAUACCGCAUACGACCUACGGGUGAAAGCAGGGGAUCUUCGGACCUUGCGCGAUUGAAUGAGCCGAUGUCGGAUUAGCUAGUUGGCGGGGUAAAGGCCCACCAAGGCGACGAUCCGUAGCUGGUCUGAGAGGAUGAUCAGCCACACUGGAACUGAGACACGGACCAGACUCGUACGGGAGGCAGGAGUGGGGAAUAUUGGACAAUGGGCGCAAGCGUGAUCCAGCCAUACCGCGUGGGUGAAGAAGGCCUACGGGUUGUAAAGCCCUUUGUUGGGAAAGAAAAGCAGCAGGUUAAUACCCCGCUGUUCUGACGGUACCCAAAGAAUAAGCACCGGCUAACUUCGUG
rnacentral:rRNA from 1 species